UCCCUCACAUUUUGGAGGCCUUGGGCGAAAAUCAAAACAAAGCCGCAUAAAAAUAUUCUUGUAAAAUAUUAUUAAAGUAAACUAUUUACAACUACAUUCAAAACUUAAAGUUGCUAAAAGAUUAUAACAUCCAUAUUUCAAGGCAUUAUUCUCUAAAUUUCUCUUGUGUUUAUGAUUUGGAUUUGGAAAUUUUUUCACCGCGCGGUGAGGUAUACUAAUUUUCAUGGCGUGGCGGUGACACGUCACUAUGGCGCGAAGCCGCAUUACGCAUAAAACCAUAAGAUUCAGGCUUUGGGCCCUAUUUAAAGGACGUGAGGUCUGGGGUUUCAACCACCCUUAGCCUCUAUCACCCAAAAAGCUUACCAUCCAAAACCUAACUCACAUCUCUCAAUUUUUAAGCUUUAUUUGGUGGUUUUUGAUCUUUGAAAGAAGAAGGAAGGAUUGUAGAGCAAAUGAUCAGCAAGCAAGCACUGCCCCUAACCUCUUUGAUCAUCUCCUAUACUUAUAUUAAGUCUCCAAGCCUUUAACUUUAUGGCUACUUCCUUGUAGAUCUAAGUUUUGAAGCUAGUUCUUCUUGUUAGGAGGAUUUUAGUGAUUGAUCUUGAUAAUGUUUGUAACUUUAUUGCUCCUUGGUGUGACAUCCCCAUUUUUUUUACGGCCAGAAAAGACCGAUUUGUUUAUGCUUUAUAAAAAUCAGAGUACUUCUUUAAUAAAAGUGUCGCGGAAUUUGUCCCCAGAAAAACAUGAUAAAUACGUUAUUAAAACAUUUUCGAUGAAACGUAUUUUAUUCAUUUUAAAACGUUUGGGAUGUCAUCGUCAAUACAGGAACAUAAGCAUAAACAGAACUUACAUUCAUUUACACUAAUGAUUUACAUCUCCUUUAUUCUCUCAGUGAAUUAUGUCUUCGUAUUGAUACCUGUGAUACAAAGAAAACUGAGUGGGUCAGGCUUGGGAGCCUGGUGAGCAUAUAGGGUUUUCAACCCACAAUAAUACAUUUAUUAUAUUCAAUUAUCAACAAUUGACCCAAAUACCCAUCCCCAUUAUCUUCUUUAAGGUUUUACCCUAAGAAUCGAUUAUACUUCCUUUAUUCAUUCCUAAGGGUUUACCUGAGGAACUGGCUCACAGUCCAUUUGCUACCACGGUUCAUACAAUAGGUACUACGUCGCAUAGUCACCAGGGUUCGUACAAUUGGCACUACGUCUCAUAGUCACCAGGGCUUACACAAUAGGCACUACGUCUCAUAGUCACCUGGGUUCAUACAAUUGGCACUACGUCUCAUAGUCACCAGGGCUUACACAAUAGGCACAUCGUCACCAAAGUUUAUCAAAUAGGCACAAAGUCGCAUCGUCACCAACUAUUCCAUCUACCCAUGUUCUACCCAACAUUUUUGUAGAUAUAAAUACAAACACAAUUUGAAUCAUUUAACAGCCGUAUAAAAACAUCAAUUCCAAAUCCAUAUCAAAUAGAUAUAUAACACCUAGCACGUAUUUCAUAGCUAAUACUUUAUAUUUAUGUAUUAGAAGAAAGUGCUAUGCACUCACGCAUAUAAACAACAAUAUAUAUAUGUAUACACAUAACACGUAUUUUAUAAAAUACUUCAUAUUUAUGUGUAAGAUGAAAGUGACUAUACACUCACUUGCUCAGAAGAUGAUCCGACAGCACUACGGCUUGCAGAUGUAGCGCCUCUCCGCAGAUCUGGAAGAUCUUCACAAAACCGGGCUCCUCGCGGGCAGGGCUUCGGCUCGGGAAUAACGCUCUUCGGGAUUCUCGGGGCUUCGGAUCUCGCUUCGGGGCUCGGGAAUAUUACCGGGGCUUCGGGGUGCAAACGGCACGCAAAUCGAGGCAAAAGAUGAGAGAAGAUGAAGAAUUUGUAAAAGAAAAGAAGCUGGCCUCGCAUCCCCUUUUAUAGUUGCUGACCCUCGCACGUACGCGGGGCGUAACUUCGGGGUACGCGGGGCGUACUCUUCGGAGGUCGUCAGCGCUUACGUCAUCGGCCCUCAUACGUCAUUGCAUACGACUCUCGACUCCGUAGAACUCGAGUGCCCUACGCUGUACGCGGGGCGUACAGCAGUACGCGGUGCGUACUUCGGAUGGACCGACUGAUCUUCCUUCGGAUAAUAUCGUAUGUUAAUUAAAAAUAAAUAUUAAAUAUUUAUUAAACUUCAAAAAUUCAUAUCUCCUUCAUACGAACUCCGUUUUCGACGUUCUUUAUAUCCACGCGAAGGUGAGACUACGCUCUACAACUUUCAUUUAGACUCCGUCGGCUGAUUUUGACUUUUAUUUUUAUUAAUUAUUUUUAGGAGGUCGGGACAGAAAAUUUCGUUAUAAAUUCAUAACUUCUUCGUCCGACGUUCAUUCUCGCCUAACUUUUCAUCGUUUCGCUACUAACAACGAGAUCUUCGAUUCUCAUUUAGAUUAUUUCGGCUAAAAACCGCUCGAUCUCAAAUCGAGUAUUCGGGCUGCAUACUGCCACGUCGAAACUUCAGAAAAUCAUAACUUCCUCAUACGAAGUCAGAUUUGGGCGUUCCUUUUAUGCACGCUCUCAGUUUAACGAAAUCUACGACUUCCGUUUAGAUCGCUAAGGCUAAAUAUCGCUCUAACUUAAAUUCAUAUUUUACGUCACUUGGCGUCGUGCCGGUUCUGUCGCGAAACUUCGACAGGUCAUAACUUCUUCGUUAUAACUCAGAUUUUGGCGUUCUUUAUAUGUACGGAAUCCUUGUAACAUAUACUAUAACCUAGUUAAGAUUAUUCAUUCUAAAUAAUCUUCUAUCAGAAACUCAUUUUUGACGCUUAUCGUCUUUAAAUUGACUAGCCCUGAUCUACGGGCGUUACACUUGGGGUCCUAGGAGUAU
rnacentral:lncRNA from 1 species